AUCAACUAAAGAAUUUAGCGAAAGGGUGCAGCAGAGUGUAAGUUGGAAUUAAAUAUGGGUCCUUGGUCUGAUAGAGAACAUUUCAAGCAAGUUCGUUGUUUAUAUCUGACUUAGAAGGCAAUGAGAAACCAUACAAGAUACGAUACUGCUUUCUUCACAAUUUCAAAAAUAUCUAUUUUGAUCAAAAGGAGUUAGGAAGAACCUGCAUGGUGGACUAUAACAGAUAAUAAUGGAAGGACUAUUCGGACCAAAAAUAGUUACCAGUUUCAUUGUCCUACUAUGUGGAGGGGACAGAGCUGAGAGAAGGGGAAGAGAAUAAGGCAUUGAGUGGCGUUCUACUACUGGUGUGUGCCAAAUACCAAUUUCAGCAUGAGGACUCAACCCGGAAGGAGCCAGCUGGAGUCCUUAUGCUAUUCCCGAGGCCUGAAACACGAGUCUAGCUGGUUCGGCCUCAUCUGUCAGGUCACAGCUGCAAUAUUACUUCCUCAGGGAAGCCCUUUCUUUCCUCCUCUUCCCCAUCUCCACCCCCUUCCCAAAGGGGCCUCCGCUAUAAGCUCUCAAAGUUGUAAUUACAUGUGUCUUGUAGUUAACUAUUUAGAGUCUGUCUCCACGUCCAGGCUCCAACCAACCUCUCAUCCUCAAAUGUCUUCACAAGGCCCACAGGAAGCACCCAACAAACAGCAAUGAUUGGUGUUCGCGUUCAUUAUCUCAUUUAAUUCUUACAAAACCACGGCAAGGAUUCAACCCCACAACUGCUGUCUAGAAAACCGAGGAAAGUGACGCAACCCGCGGGAGGUCUGACGGCCCGAGAGCCGCAGCGCCAGGCCCGGGAGCCAGCCCCGUCCACUUCCCCGGUGGAUUCUUCUCCGUUCCCCGCCGGCCGCCCCAGGUGAAGCUCCUUUCCGCCGUCAGAAGGAGGCUCCCAGCGGGAAGCAGCAUCGAGGGCGACCCAGGGCCAGCACGGGAAAUGCCAGGGACCGCGUCAGCCCAGCCUGCUGGAACCCCGCUCCUCGCUGCAGACGCCGUUCCGCCUGAGGACAGUACUCGGGCAUGGGGAGUCAGGUGCCCGCUACAGGAACGCAAGAGACCGCGCGGGACCAGCGACACAGCUCCAUGCUAUCCUGGUUUUCCAACCCGACGCCGCGGCCAGCGGCCACUCUAGGACGCCGGAGGGUCCUCCUCUCAGUGGUUGGGGCUGGGCCGCCCUGCGCCGGGAGCCGCCCACCUUCGGGCUGGGCCGGGCCUGGCCAGAGUCUGGGCUAAGCGCAGGCCCUGCAUGAAUCUUCAGCCUGGGAGGUGGGGCAGGAGCACGGAGAAGUCUCGAAGAAGGGGAGGAAGCACGCACUGGCUGCCGCGGGAAAAGCUCAGCCAGCAACUGUAUCAGCUACAUUCGACCCUCCUUUGCUGCAUGGCAAAAACAAAAUAAACUACCAUUUCUUA